rnacentral:lncRNA from 1 species
CUGGGUAGAUUACUUAUUUAUUCUAUGGUAAGGGGAAAGAAGAGCUUCAUGGGAAUAUAAUCAAUUCAUGUGUUAUUUAUAUGGCAUUCAUGAUGUAAAAGUUGUUAAUACAAAUAUCUGACACCCAUAUUUUAGAAGAGCAGAGUCCUAAACCCUCUUUUUAAAGAUCAUCAAAAUUAUCUACCAAUUGUGCAAUGAUAGUCUUUUUUUUCUUCUUGCAGAUACUGACCAAUGAACCUGGGGUCUUACCAAUAUUAGGAAUACCUUCCAGGACCCCUCCUGCUGCCCAUCCUGUGGACCCACCUGCACAGCAAGGCAUGGAGCUCAUGGACCUGAGGCUGAACUGCAUGUGAACUUGUCCUGUGUGAAUGCAGAAAUUUGUCUGUUAAAAAUUAUUCCAAUUAAAGAAGCUUAAAAUUAUAAGCAGAAGUUCUCUCUUGUCAGAUAUAUACUCAGUGAUUCACACAUACAAUUAUAAACACACCACUUUUUAAAGUGUCAGAAUGCCUGUGCGUUGUAGGGCACGAACCUGUGGCUAUUCUAUGAAUAAGUACAUCAGUGUCUUUGAGUCUCAUGUCUUAUGCAUCUUAACAUAAGGGUGUCCGUCUUUGUAUAUCUGAUUUAUCAUGUCCUUUAAAUUCCUGAUGUUACAAGUUAAAUAUAUGUGUGUAUAUACACACAAACAUAUGCACAGAUUUCUGUUAAUGUGACCCUUAAAUACUAACAUUGGUAAAUAUAAAAUACAUGACAUAGUGAGGAACAAUAAUAUAGUAAAUGAGUUCGUCAUUCUUUAAAAUUUUCCCUGAAAAAGAAAACUUUAAGUAUCCCCAAAUUUCACAGCUUGUACAUGAAAUAAACUUUUAAAAGUUCCCUAGGGCUGGGGAUUUAGCUCAGUGGUUCUGUCGCCUGCCUUGCAAGCACAAGGACCCGAGUUUGAACCCUGGUACCAAAAAAAAGAAAAAAAAAAGUUCCCCAAAUUUGACAAAGAUAUGUUAAAAAAACUCCAUGACAUUACUAAUAAUAAAUCACAGAGCUGUACUACAAAUACUGAAAGUAAAUUUCAAUCAAGCUGAAAAAUAGUAGAAUUAUCUUUCUAUUCUGUUUGCCAAAAAAUUUCCAAAAUUGUUGCUAUAUGAAAAAUCAUUUAAAAAGUGUGCAGCCAAACUAUUGAAAGAAAUCAUAAUUUAGGGCUUUGUUCAAAAUGAAAAAUUUAAAAAUUUUGUUUCCUUUUUAUUAGUUUAGUGCAAUUGUGGUAUUGUCAGUUUUUAAAAAUUUUUAAUUUGUUGCAAUUUCUUUCCUCAUUGUAAAUAAAUAUUUUGCAAGUAA